UGGGGAAUAUUGGACAAUGGGCGCAAGCCUGAUCCAGCCAUGCCGCGUGAGUGAUGAAGGCCCUAGGGUUGUAAAGCUCUUUCACCGGUGAAUAUAAUGACGGUAACCGGAGAAGAAGCCCCGGCUAACUUCGUGCCAGCAGCCGCGGUAAUACGAAGGGGGCUAGCGUUGUUCGGAUUUCCUGGGCGUAAAGCGCACGUAGGCGGACUUUUAAGUCAGGGGUGAAAUCCCGGGGCUCAACCCCCGAACUGCCUUUGAUACUGGAAGUUUUGGUGAUGGUAGCGGUGAGUGGAAUUCCUGGUUUAGAGGUGAAAUUCGUAGAUAAUCGGAGGAACACCAGUGGCGAAGGCGGCUCACUGGACCAUUACUAACGCUAGGGUGCAAAAGCGUGGGGGGCAAACAGG
rnacentral:rRNA from 1 species